GCACUCUACAUCGCAAAAUUGAAAUCCAUUAAUGCAUUAUGCUGUCACAUCGGCACGGUGUGCAUAAUCACUUAGCAAAUAAUUCCAUGGGGAUUAUUCGCUAAGCCAUGUACUGUCCAGGACCGACAUAUCACCUGACAGUUCUGGGUUUAGUGGGACCAUUUCAGAUCUGGGCUCCAUUCCCAAUCGGUUCCCUAGUGUCCCCAGUAGAAGGACCUGUAGAAAGUGCCUGACCUUCGCAAACUUUAACCAAUGCCCGGAGUGAUUUCAAAGCAUCCUGCACAUGGUCUGCCUGGGUCUGGCACUGCAAAGGCCAUCAGACUUGCGCACAAAUGCGUUUCAGCUAGUACGAACAAAUCCAGUGCAUUUUAAUAUGAUCCAUCCGUCCGGAAUUAACUUGUGGAGGCUUAUUGCG